AGAGGGUGCAAGCGUUAAUCGGAUUUACUGGGCGUAAAGCGCGCGUAGGCGGCUAAUUAAGUCAAAUGUGAAAUCCCCGAGCUUAACUUGGGAAUUGCAUUCGAUACUGGUUAGCUAGAGUGUGGGAGAGGAUGGUAGAAUUCCAGGUGUAGCGGUGAAAUGCGUAGAGAUCUGGAGGAAUACCGAUGGCGAAGGCAGCCAUCUGGCCUAACACUGACGCUGAGGUGCGAAAGCAUGGGGAGCAAACAGGAUUAGAUACCCUGGUAGUCCAUGCCGUAAACGAUGUCUACUAGCCGUUGGGGCCUUUGAGGCUUUAGUGGCGCAGCUAACGCGAUAAGUAGACCGCCUGGGGAGUACGGUCGCAAGACUAAAACUCAAAUGAAUUGACGGGGGCCCGCACAAGCGGUGGAGCAUGUGGUUUAAUUCGAUGCAACGCGAAGAACCUUACCUGGCCUUGACAUGUCGAGAACUUUCCAGAGGUGGAUUGGUGCCUUCGGGAACUCGAACACAGGUGC
rnacentral:rRNA from 1 species